UACGGAGGAUGCGAGCGUUAUCCGGAAUGAUUGGGCGUAAAGCGUCUGUAGGUGGUUUCCUAAGUCCACUGUCAAAAAUCAAGGCUUAACCUUGAGCAGGCAGUGGAAACUGGGAGGCUUGAGUACGGUAGGGGCGGAGGGAAUUCCCGGUGUAGCGGUGAAAUGCGUAGAGAUCGGGAAGAACACCAAGGGCGAAAGCACUCUGCUGGGCCGAAACUGACACUGAGAGACGAAAGCGAGGGGAGCAAAUGGG
rnacentral:rRNA from 1 species